rnacentral:rRNA from 1 species
AACGAACGCUGGCGGCAGGCUUAACACAUGCAAGUCGAGCGCAUCCUUCGGGGUGAGCGGCGGACGGGUGAGUAACGCGUGGGAACGUGACCUCUUCUACGGAAUAGCCUCGGGAAACUGAGAGUAAUGCCGUAUACGCCCGCAAGGGGAAAGAUUUAUCGGAGGAGGAUCGGCCCGCGUUGGAUUAGGUAGUUGGUGGGGUAACGGCCUACCAAGCCGACGAUCCAUAGCUGGUUUGAGAGGAUGAUCAGCCACACUGGGACUGAGACACGGCCCAGACUCCUACGGGAGGCAGCAGUGGGGAAUCUUGGACAAUGGGGGCAACCCUGAUCCAGCCAUGCCGCGUGAUCGAUGAAGGCCUUAGGGUUGUAAAGAUCUUUCAGCUGGGAAGAUAAUGACGGUACCAGCAGAAGAAGCCCCGGCUAACUCCGUG